UGGGGAAUAUUGCACAAUGGGCGAAAGCCUGAUGCAGCAACGCCGCGUGAGUGAUGAAGGCCUUCGGGUUGUAAAGCUCUGUCUUCUGGGACGAUAAUGACGGUACCAGAGGAGGAAGCCACGGCUAACUACGUGCCAGCAGCCGCGGUAAUACGUAGGUGGCAAGCGUUGUCCGGAUUUACUGGGCGUAAAGGAUGCGUAGGCGGAUACUUAAGUCAGAUGUGAAAAUCCCGGGCUUAACUUGGGAACUGCAUUUGAAACUGGGUAUCUAGAGUGCGGGAGAGGAAAGUGGAAUUCCUAGUGUAGCGGUGAAAUGCGUAGAGAUUAGGAAGAACACCAGUGGCGAAGGCGACUUUCUGGACCGUAACUGACGCUGAGGCAUGAAAGCGUGGGUAGCAAACA
rnacentral:rRNA from 1 species